UUUCUUGGGAGGAAGACCUAGCAUCAGUUUUUCUUCUCUGAGCAGCAUCAGUACCCAAGAAGUCAUGGCUACGUUCGAUUAUUCUUCAAUCAUCACCUCCUUCUGAUCUAAAGGUUCUAUUGCUACCGUGUCUGUAAUUGUGAAGAAAGGGAAAGAAAUAUUACAUUUUGAUUGAUUGAGUACUUUCAAGUGGAUCAUCAGAAGGGUGGAAGUGUUAUUUCUUGUAUACAUUUGUUGAGAUGCGUAAGAAAUCUUGAAAGAAAUUCCGGACAUAUCAAUUAUGGAUUGAAUGAACUAGUACUCAAAUCCAAGGACUCUUUUUGGCAGCAGAAUUUCCAUUGGCUUGGCACCAGACUUGUUGCAUUUGAUAGUUUACCUUCCGUUGUUGCAAGAAUUAGUACUUUUUUGUUUCCGUUAAAAAAACACAAUACUCUUUUGUGUUACCAGUACUAUCUUAUGUGUUAAAAUUUCUUGUUUCUGAACUUAGUAAUUUUAUUUGUUUUA